UACGUAGGGUGCGAGCGUUGUCCGGAAUUACUGGGCGUAAAGAGCUCGUAGGUGGUUUGUCGCGUUGUCCGUGAAAACUCACAGCUCAACUCCGGGCCUGCAGUCGAUACGGGCAAACUGGAGUGUUGCAGGGGAGACUGGAAUUCUUGGUGUAGCGGUGAAAUGCGCAGAUAUCAGGAGGAACACCAAUAGCGAAGGCAGCUCGCUGGGACGGUACUGACGCUAAGGCGCGAAAGCGUGGGGAGCGAACAGG
rnacentral:rRNA from 1 species